rnacentral:rRNA from 1 species
UACGAAGGGGGCUAGCGUUGCUCGGAUUGACUGGGCGUAAAGGGCGCGUAGGCGGUUCGUACAGUCAGACGUGAAAUUCCUGGGCUUAACCUGGGGGCUGCAUUUGAUACGUGUGGGCUUGAGUGCGGAAGAGGGUCGUGGAAUUCCCAGUGUAGAGGUGAAAUUCGUAGAUAUUGGGAAGAACACCGGUGGCGAAGGCGGCGACCUGGUCCGUGACUGACGCUGAGGCGCGAAAGCGUGGGGAGCGAACAGG